rnacentral:rRNA from 2 species
GGCGUUAAGUUGCAGGGUAUAGACCCGAAACCCGGUGAUCUAGCCAUGGGCAGGUUGAAGGUUGGGUAACACUAACUGGAGGACCGAACCGACUAAUGUUGAAAAAUUAGCGGAUGACCUGUGGCUGGGGGUGAAAGGCCAAUCAAACCGGGAGAUAGCUGGUUCUCCCCGAAAGCUAUUUAGGUAGCGCCUCGUGAAUUCAUCUCCGGGGGUAGAGCACUGUUUCGGCUAGGGGGCCAUCCCGGCUUACCAACCCGAUGCAAACUGCGAAUACCGGAGAAUGUUAUCACGGGAGACACACGGCGGGUGCUAACGUCCGUCGUGAAGAGGGAAACAACCCAGACCGCCAGCUAAGGUCCCAAAGUCAUGGUUAAGUGGGAAACGAUGUGGGAAGGCCCAGACAGCCAGGAUGUUGGCUUAGAAGCAGCCAUCAUUUAAAGAAAGCGUAAUAGCUCACUGGUCGAGUCGGCCUGCGCGGAAGAUGUAACGGGGCUAAACCAUGCACCGAAGCUGCGGCAGCGA